CAAUCAAACCGGGAGAUAGCUGGUUCUCCCCGAAAGCUAUUUAGGUAGCGCCUCGUGAAUUCAUCUCCGGGGGUAGAGCACUGUUUCGGCUAGGGGGCCAUCCCGGCUUACCAACCCGAUGCAAACUGCGAAUACCGGAGAAUGUUAUCACGGGAGACACACGGCGGGUGCUAACGUCCGUCGUGAAGAGGGAAACAACCCAGACCGCCAGCUAAGGUCCCAAAGUCAUGGUUAAGUGGGAAACGAUGUGGGAAGGCCCAGACAGCCAGGAUGUUGGCUUAGAAGCAGCCAUCAUUUAAAGAAAGCGUAAUAGCUCACUGGUCGAGUCGGCCUGCGCGGAAGAUGUAACGGGGCUAAACCAUGCACCGAAGCUGCGGCAGCGAACGUAUCACCCAAGACAACUUUACGGAGUUGACGAUUGACGGAGCGAAGCGACGUCAAAGCGUUCAUUAAAGUCGAGUUGGCUUAGGGAUACGUUCGUUGGGUAGGGGAGCGUUCUGUAAGCCUGUGAAGGUGUGUCGUGAGGCAUGCUGGAGGUAUCAGAAGUGCGAAUGCUGACAUAAGUAACGAUAAAGCGGGUGAAAAGCCCGCUCGCCGGAAGACCAAGGGUUCCUGUCCAACGUUAAUCGGGGCAGGGUGAGUCGACCCCUAAGGCGAGGCCGAAAGGCGUAGUCGAUGGGAAACGGGUUAAUAUUCCCGUACUUGGUGUUACUGCGAAGGGGGGACGGAGAAGGCUAUGUUGGCCGGGCGACGGUUGUCCCGGUUUAAGCGUGUAGGUGUGUGUUCCAGGUAAAUCCGGUUCACUUUAACACUGAGGCGUGACGACGAGGCACUACGGUGCUGAAGCAACAAAUGCCCUGCUUCCAGGAAAAGCCUCUAAGCAUCAGGUAACACGAAAUCGUACCCCAAACCGACACAGGUGGUCAGGUAGAGAAUACCAAGGCGCUUGAGAGAACUCGGGUGAAGGAACUAGGCAAAAUGGUGCCGUAACUUCGGGAGAAGGCACGCUGACACGUAGGUGAAGUGAUUUACUCAUGGAGCUGAAGUCAGUCGAAGAUACCAGCUGGCUGCAACUGUUUAUUAAAAACACAGCACUGUGCAAACACGAAAGUGGACGUAUACGGUGUGACGCCUGCCCGGUGCCGGAAGGUUAAUUGAUGGGGUCAGCGUAAGCGAAGCUCCUGAUCGAAGCCCCGGUAAACGGCGGCCGUAACUAUAACGGUCCUAAGGUAGCGAAAUUCCUUGUCGGGUAAGUUCCGACCUGCACGAAUGGCGUAAUGAUGGCCAGGCUGUCUCCACCCGAGACUCAGUGAAAUUGAACUCGCUGUGAAGAUGCAGUGUACCCGCGGCAAGACGGAAAGACCCCGUGAACCUUUACUAUAGCUUGACACUGAACAUUGAGCCUUGAUGUGUAGGAUAGGUGGGAGGCUUUGAAGUGUGGACGCCAGUCUGCAUGGAGCCGACCUUGAAAUACCACCCUUUAAUGUUUGAUGUUCUAACGUGGACCCGUAAUCCGGGUUGCGGACAGUGUCUGGUGGGUAGUUUGACUGGGGCGGUCUCCUCCUAAAGAGUAACGGAGGAGCACGAAGGUUGGCUAAUCCUGGUCGGACAUCAGGAGGUUAGUGCAAUGGCAUAAGCCAGCUUGACUGCGAGCGUGACGGCGCGAGCAGGUGCGAAAGCAGGUCAUAGUGAUCCGGUGGUUCUGAAUGGAAGGGCCAUCGCUCAACGGAUAAAAGGUACUCCGGGGAUAACAGGCUGAUACCGCCCAAGAGUUCAUAUCGACGGCGGUGUUUGGCACCUCGAUGUCGGCUCA
rnacentral:rRNA from 1 species